UACGGAGGGUGCAAGCGUUAUCCGGAUUCACUGGGUUUAAAGGGUGCGUAGGAGGGCAGGGAAGUCAGUGGUGAAAUCUCCGGGCUUAACUCGGAAACUGCCGUUGAUACUCUCUGUCUUGAAUCCCGUGGAGGUGAGCGGAAUAUGUCAUGUAGCGGUGAAAUGCUUAGAUAUCUGGAGGAACACCGGUGGCGAAGGCGGCAUCCUGGACCAACACUGACACUGAUGAGCGAAAGCCAGGGGAGCAAACCGG
rnacentral:rRNA from 1 species